rnacentral:rRNA from 1 species
UGGGGAAUUUUGGGCAAUGGGGGAGACCCUGACCCAGCGACGCCGCGUGAGGGACGAAGGCCCUUGGGUCGUAAACCUCUUUUGCAGGGGAAGAAGAAGAUGACGGUACCUUGCGAACAAGUCCCGGCUAACUACGUGCCAGCAGCCGCGGUAACACGUAGGGGACGAGCGUUGUCCGGAAUUACUGGGCGUAAAGGGCGCGCAGGCUGUGCGUCGAGUCGGCUGUUGAAAGGCGGGGCUCAACCCCGCGAAGCGGUCGAGACCGGCGUGCUGGAGUACUGCAGAGGCAGGCGGAAUUCCCGGUGUAGCGGUGAAAUGCGUAGAUAUCGGGAAGAACACCGGUGGCGAAGGCGGCCUGCUGGGCAGUAACUGACGCUGAGGCGCGAGAGCCAGGGUAGCGAACGGG